UACGAAGGGGGCUAGCGUUGCUCGGAAUCACUGGGCGUAAAGCGUGCGCAGGCGGUUAUGUAAGACAGAUGUGAAAUCCCCGGGCUCAACCUGGGAACUGCAUUUGUGACUGCAUAGCUAGAGUACGGUAGAGGGGGAUGGAAUUCCGCGUGUAGCAGUGAAAUGCGUAGAUAUGCGGAGGAACACCGAUGGCGAAGGCAAUCCCCUGGACCUGUACUGACGCUCAUGCACGAAAGCGUGGGGAGCAAACAGG
rnacentral:rRNA from 1 species